rfam:Pelagibacteraceae bacterium BACL20 MAG-120920-bin34 contig02571_1_120920-bin34, whole genome shotgun sequence.
GCCUCCCUAGCUCAGUGGUAGAGCAUCCGCCUUGUAAGCGGAAGGUCGUCAGUUCAAUCCUGACGGGGGGCU